AGAUGAAAGAGGUCCUUAAUGUGCUUCCAACAAAAACGACACGAGAAGUGGCCAUCAGAGGUGAUCCUAAUCACAUGAAAUGCCAAGAAAUUUCACAGCUUAUCGGGAAAGAGCCGCCGUUUUCGAUGGGCUGCGGCUCAGGUGUCACGUACAACAAAAGCCUUCGACCUGACAUUAUUCGAGAAGUGGUCGGAAGUAUUCACUCACCUCCAGUUGUGGCGUAAUCAGGACCGCAAAACCUAGUUUGGCCUUGCUCAUAGACAGGGCACCUGCAUGCGCCGGCUGGGUUCGUCUGCGGACCUGUGCAAUGCGGAAAGACGGAAGAGACGCUCACAAAAAUUGUCAACGAAGUCUGUGUCAUCAUCCCGCAUGGCGUUGAGAGGUGCCGUUGCCAUGACGACGUUGCGAUUCGUCCCGUCGCCCCCUAUCUAAUGCUCCUUCGGGAAAAGCACGCAUGACGUGUUCGCUGAACAAUAAACUACUGUCUGGCUGCUCACUU